rnacentral:rRNA from 1 species
CAGUGGCGGACGGGUGAGUAACGCGUAGGAAUGUGUCCUGAGAUGGGGGACAACGCCGGGAAACUGGCGCUAAUACCGCAUAUGACCUGAGGGUCAAAGCCGCGAGGCGUCUUGGGAGCAGCCUGCGUCCGAUUAGGUAGUUGGUGGGGUAAAGGCCUACCAAGCCAUCGAUCGGUAGCUGGUCUGAGAGGAUGAUCAGCCACACUGGAACUGAGACACGGUCCAAACUCCUACGGGAGGCAGCAGUGGGGAAUAUUGGACAAUGGGCGGAAGCCUGAUCCAGCAAUUCCGCGUGGGUGAAGAAGGUCUUCGGAUUGUAAAGCCCUUUCGGCAGGGACGAUGAUGACGGUACCUGCAGAAGAAGCCCCGGCUAACUUCGUGCCAGCAGCCGCGGUAAUACGAAGGGGUCUAGCGUUGCUCGGAAUGACUGGCCGUAAAGGGCGCGUAGGCGGCACACACAGUCAGGCGUGAAAUUCCUGGGCUUAACCUGGGGGCUGCGUUUGAUACAUGUGAGCUAGAGGAUGGAAGAGGCUCGUGGAAUUCCCAGUGUAGAGGUGAAAUUCGUAGAUAUUGGGAAGAACACCGGUGGCGAAGGCGGCGAGCUGGUCCAUUACUGACGCUGAGGCGCGAAAGCGUGGGGAGCAAACAGG